rnacentral:rRNA from 1 species
AUUGAACGCUGGCGGCAGGCCUAACACAUGCAAGUCGAACGGUAACAGGAAGCAGCUUGCUGCUUUGCCGACGAGUGGCGGACGGGUGAGUAAUGUCUGGGAAACUGCCUGAUGGAGGGGGAUAACUACUGGAAACGGUAGCUAAUACCGCAUAACGUCGCAAGACCAAAGAGGGGGACCUUCGGGCCUCUUGCCAUCGGAUGUGCCCAGAUGGGAUUAGCUAGUAGGUGGGGUAACGGCUCACCUAGGCGACGAUCCCUAGCUGGUCUGAGAGGAUGACCAGCCACACUGGAACUGAGACACGGUCCAGACUCCUACGGGAGGCAGCAGUGGGGAAUAUUGCACAAUGGGCGCAAGCCUGAUGCAGCCAUGCCGCGUGUAUGAAGAAGGCCUUCGGGUUGUAAAGUACUUUCAGCGGGGAGGAAGGGAGUAAAGUUAAUACCUUUGCUCAUUGACGUUACCCGCAGAAGAAGCACCGGCUAACUCCGUG